ACCGUAAUGUCUAGUAUAUACGUGUCGUGAAAAAAACCGUGCGGGCUGACUUGACUGUGUUUUUCGAAGUGGAGGCUGGCUUGACCGCAGCACUAGUUCAGUCUGCACACUCUUCGGUCGUUCACUCAAACCCUGACAUGAAGACACUAGUCGUAGGAGUUGGUGGGGUGACCAAUGGGGGAAAAUCUACUCUUUCCAAUAGUUUACACCAGCAGAUACCCAACAGCUGUCUCAUUGCACAGGAUGCAUAUUUUAAGGAUGAUUCUGUGGUACCAGUGGACAGCAAUGGGUUCAAGCAAUAUGACAUGCUCGACGCGCUCCACAUGGACACGAUGAUGAGCGAGGUCGACUCGUGGCGAAGAGAUCCUGAGGUGUUCCUGAGGCGGCGAGGCCUGAACCCAGAGCGCACAACACCACCGAAGGACGAGGAGGUGUAUGUGCUGAUAGUGGAGGGCUUCCUUAUUUUCAACCACCGGCCUCUGAAUGAUCUGUUUUACAAAAGAUACUUGAUGGAAAUACCUUACGAUGUCUGCAAAAGGAGACGAAGUUCGAGGGUGUACACGCCCCCCGAUCCUCCUGGGUACUUUGAUGGACACGUGUGGCCGAUGUACCUGAAAAACCGUCAGGAGAUGGAGAGUUCAGUGUCUGGAAUUGAUUUCUUUCUCAGUAUUUCUGGAUGGACUGAAGCCAAAGGAAGAACUGCUGGCUGAUGUCUAUGAAGAUGUUUGUCAGGAAAUAGAAAGGUUGAGGGAGAAAGACUGACCUGGUCCCAAGUUAAUUCGUCUGCCCUGACGGUGACGGCUGCGCCAAUGGCAGGAAAGUACAUCUCGUCAGGAAAGUACAUCUCGUAGACUAAUGUGUGACUGAAGGGGCCAAACCAAGUGUUAAUGUCGAUGUGAUACUUAGAAUAUGGCUCAAAUGAUUUUAUUUUGAAAGCUAUGCAUGAGAAUUAACUGAUGCAGUGUUUUGAGUAUUAUGAUGCACUCUGAGAAACCUAAAAAUGUGACGUUUUUCACUAGUUGAUGCUGAAUACAAUCGACACAAAGUUGACUGAUGUGACAUCUGACAAUGUUUUGUAUCUCACUGCGUUGUUUUUAUAAUGAUGUAUGAAGGAUCUUUUUUAAUUUUUUAUUUAACUUGUGAUGUAACUCCAGCUAAACAAAUACAUAAAGUGUGCAUCAUUGUCAAAGAGCGGUUUUUAAUCAUAUUGGAUAUAACAGAUAUUAAACAAUGAUAAUUGCAUGCUUUUUAGGUUUGGUGAGCAUCAUUCUUUUGUUAUAUAUUAUUUGCAAAAAGACGUGAAUUUGUACCAUUGGUGGCAUUUUGUCUCUACCUGGUGGUUCGUUCUGAUAAACUGGAGGCGGACGAGUGACCAACUUUAAAUUGCUCUCGGCCCUCUUAUCACCUGAAUACUUUGUCCAACUCUCAUCACCAGCAAAUGAUAAGGAAAGACACAUCACAGCAGAAAAUCACACGUUAACAUUUUUUUUUAAAUGUCAUUAUCAUGAAACCAAUUCAAAUAAAAUGUGUGCCUAAUCGACAUGCCCCACAUUUAUUUUAGGAAUAUGCACCAUGUGAACAUAAUAUUAACACAAAUAAUACUAAAUUAUCUCCUUACUUGUGACAUGCAGCGAAUCUGGGGCACCGGGGGCCCGUGGCGGUGUGUAAAUUAAGUUGUUUCCCACUAUGCCCACUUAAUAAUCCUUUGUUCACAAGGCUAGUCCUGAACCUUUUUUUAGAAAAUGUGGCUCCAGCCUGCGCAACACGCUCCCCUCCUUUAAAAUCCUAUAAAUAGAAAAGCCUGCUUUCCUUUGCAACCUGAAACCUGUUUGACAACUCAAAUGCCGUUGUGAACCAAGAGCUCACGUGUAAUUCAUUUGUAAGUUUGCAUAACCGCCCUCUGACUAAUGAAGCUGGGAUUGUUUCCCAUCGCACUAAAUGCUAGAAAGUUUUGCCAAAAAGUCCGCGGUGCUGUCGACAGAACAUUUCUGUUGACCUCAGCAGCCAACUCGCAUGACCUGAAUGUGCAGUAGAGGAGUCAUCACAUGUAAAUAUGGACAUUCCUCACUUCCCUGUACUGACUAUAUCCUCUUCUAACUCCACAUAUAUACAUCUGCUGCAGCUUCAUAAGCCGACACUCUCUCAACAGCCUUGUACCUGAUAGUCAUGUCUAACGCGGGAUCUUCAGCAUACGUGUGUUGGCUUUUUGCCUCCUGCUUGUGUUGCCACAACGCAAUGCCGACUAGACUCAACCAAGAGGCUGUGAACGACAGACCUGUGAUCGGUAUUUUGACUCAGAUAGUUUCAGACGAAGUCAUGAAACCGUUCGGGAGGACCUACAUACCUUCCUCCUAUGUGAAGUUCAUUGAGUCUGGGGGCAGCAGAGUGAUGCCUAUCAGAUUGACUCUUAAAACCACUGAAUAUGAAAACAUCUUCAGGAACAUCAACGGCUUGCUCCUCAUCGGGGGGGCAGCAGAUCUGGAGACGUCCGACUUUGCCAGGGUGGCGAAGAUCUUUUACAGACUCGCUCUGACGGCCAAUGACGAAGGGGACGUCUUCCCCAUCUGGGGUACAUGCAUGGGCAUGCAACUGCUGACGGUGCUGGUGGCCGGAGAAAAUCAGCUUGAAGCGACCCCAGCAGAGAACGUAGCGCUGCCCCUGGACCUGACCACUGAGGCCGGCUCUAGUAGGAUGUUUGAGGGUUUCCCCAACAAUCUCAUGAAGGCUUUGACCCAAGAACCGCUCACUGGCAAUUUCCACCGCUAUGGAGUCGCAGUGAAGACCUUCCAGGACAAUGAGAGGCUGCAGAGCUUCUUCUCCCUGCUGUCGACAAACGUUGCAAAGAACGGAGUCCACUUUGUAUCAACCAUAGAAGGUAAAACCUAUCCCUUCUAUGGAGUGCAGUGGCACCCGGAGGUGAACCGUUUCCAGUGGCAGAGGAAGCAGAACUACCCUCACUCUGCUCACGCUGUUCAGUUGUCGUCUCUGCUGGCUGAGUUUUUUGUCAAUGAAGGAAGGAGAAGUUUACAUCAGUUUGACAAUCCUGAGGAAGAAGCCUCGUCACUGAUUUACAACGACACGCCCGUCUUCGCCGGGAACUUCACCGGAUAUGAACAGCUCUACUUCUUCUGAAAUCCUCGAGCAGUUGUCUGUGCGUCACUCAGCGUGAACAACACAGCACUUUAUAUAUAGUCUCAGGGGGGCAAAGCUAAUAUGUGUAUAUGCUGUUAUUGUGCUUAUUUGCAUUAAUAAACUUUAGUUGUAGUCA